AUACUGAACUGUAUGAUUUUCUUUCGAUUGCUUAUGUGUUCAUUUUGACAAAAUAUUCAGCAGAAUGGAGGCAACCACCACUGCUUAUCCUGCAUUUUUAGAGGGAACUGUCGCUCAGGGUUCAUCGCUCAAAGCCGUGUCAACCGAUAUGAAUGUGGGAGCAUCUACACUCUGACAUACUUCUUUGCAUCUAGCAGCAAGGUGAUGUACCGUGUGGCUGAUCAAAAGAGAAGGACAGAGACAAAAUUCACAGCUUCUACAAAUAAAAUUGAUGUUGUUCUCUCGAGAGUGUUUUAGAGAGGUGUACUACCGAUUUGUAAAAGAGAAAACCGCGAUUGGAUUCUCGGACCUUAUUGACGCCAAGAUCAGCCAGAUGAGUGAUAUGAGUUGUACGAGUGCCUCAGCUUCAAGUAAAACAACAUCUAACAUACAUCUUAGUUGAUCCUUGCUCUACAUGUCGGAUCUCUUCUAAGCUCAAUGUUUUGAAUCCAACGGAGCUCCUAGGGAGACCACUACGUCAAAUAUUCAAAUGCUUGGCCACCAUGCCUAUCGACCUGGAGUGCUAUAUCUGCCACGGUAUACAAUUUUGACUGUCUUUAUAGCAAUGGCAGGGAU